UGGGGUGUAGCGCAGUAGUAGAGCAGCUGCCUAACAUGCACGCGACCCUGAGUUCAAUUCCCAGCACCACAA
rnacentral:tRNA from 1 species